CUCUCUCCCACUAGGCUGUGGGGGUUAUUGUUCUCCUCAGCCAGGCAGGAGACAAAGAUCAGCGUCAUGGACCAUCGUCAGGACUGCUCCUAGCCAGGCAGCCCUGUUUUCCUCCCUCACACAUUU
rnacentral:snoRNA from 1 species